GGUCUCACACCCUUCAAUGGGUACACAGCUGCGACGUGGACUCGGACUGCAGUCUCCUCAGUGGGUAUGAACAUACCCUAUCACGGCGCCAGUUACCUCGUCCGAAACCAGGAACUGCGCUCUUGGACUGCAGCGGACAAGGCGGCUCAGAUGCCCUGGCGGAGGAACAGGCAGAGCUGCUCAAAACCUACCUGCAGGGAAGGUGGGCGGAGUGGCUCAGCAAAGUCCUUAAGAAUGGGAAGGAGAGGCUGCAGUGCCCAGAACCCCAAAGACUCACAUGACCCACCACCCCAUCUCUGACCAUGAGGCCACCCUGAGGUGCUGGGCUCUGGGCUUCUACCCUGUGGAGAUCACACUGACCCAGUAGUGGGAUGGACAGGACCAAAUGUAGGAUGCAGAGGUUGUGGAGACCACACCUGCAGGGUACAGAACCUUCCAGAAGUGGGCAGCUGUGGUGGUGUCUUCUGGAGAGGAGCAGAGAUACACAUGCCAUGUGCAGCACGAUGGGCUGCCAGAGCCCCUCACCCUGAGAUGGCUGUCUUCCCAGCCCACCAUCCCCAUCAUGGGCAUCGUUACUGUCCUGGUUGUUCUUGGUGCUGUUUUCACCAGAGCUGUGGUCACUGCUGUGAUGUGAAGAAUAAGAGCCCAGGUAGGAAAGGGGUGAGCUCCGAGUUUUCUUCUUCCAUUGAUGGAAAAGGAGGCAGCUAUGCUCAGGCUUCAUGCAAGGACAGUACCCAGGGCUCUGAUGUGUCUCUCAAGGCUUGUAAAAUG
rnacentral:lncRNA from 1 species